GGGUUGUGAGGUUAAGCGACUAAGCGUACACGGUGGAUGCCCUGGCAGUCAGAGGCGAUGAAGGACGUGCUAAUCUGCGAUAAGCGUCGGUAAGGUGAUAUGAACCGUUAUAACCGGCGAUUUCCGAAUGGGGAAACCCAGUGUGAUUCGUCACACUAUCAUUAACUGAAUCCAUAGGUUAAUGAGGCGAACCGGGGGAACUGAAACAUCUAAGUACCCCGAGGAAAAGAAAUCAACCGAGAUUCCCCCAGUAGCGGCGAGCGAACGGGGAGGAGCCCAGAGCCUGAAUCAGUGUGUGUGUUAGUGGAAGCGUCUGGAAAGGCGCGCGAUACAGGGUGACAGCCCCGUACACAAAAAUGCACAUGCUGUGAGCUCGAUGAGUAGGGCGGGACACGUGGUAUCCUGUCUGAAUAUGGGGGGACCAUCCUCCAAGGCUAAAUACUCCUGACUGACCGAUAGUGAACCAGUACCGUGAGGGAAAGGCGAAAAGAACCCCGGCGAGGGGAGUGAAAAAGAACCUGAA
rnacentral:rRNA from 1 species